rnacentral:tRNA from 1 species
GGACGUGCCUCAGUGGUAGAGUGCUUUCCUAGAAAGCAUGAGGUCUUGGGUUCAAUCCCCAGCACCA